AGAGACUUGAGUCCUCUCUAUUGCUUACAUUGACCAAAUUUCUUGUAUUCAGGAAAAAAAGUUGGGUUCCAGCUUUAGGAGGAAAACUCUUUUACCAAAAAAUCUACUCAGCAAAGCAGAGUUAAGCAGCUGAAAAACUGAAAAGCAACAGCAAAGGACUGAAAAGUACCACCCGGAGAAAAAGUUUGUUAUGAAUUUGAAAGAGGGAAAGAGGUUAACAGCAAGGAAUGAGGAAUGCCGAGCAGCAGGAGAGCCAUGAAGCAAAAUGAGUGUGAGUGUCCAGCAGCAGUGGGGCAAGAAGCAGAGAGUGGAUGGGAGAAAAGAGCAAGCAGUGCACCUGGAAACACACCCUGCCCUCAAUUCCUUCUCUCUUUGCUGAGUGUGGGUGAAGGAUUGGGAUGACUUCCUCCUGGUUAUAAAAAUUGUUCUUGUUUCCUGA